UGGGGAAUUUUGGACAAUGGGCGCAAGCCUGAUCCAGCCAUGCCGCGUGCGGGAAGAAGGCCUUCGGGUCGUAAACGCUUUGUCAGGGAAGAAACUUCUGAGUUAAUACCUCGGGGAGGAUGACGGUACCUGAAGAAUAAGCACCGGCUAACUACGUGCCAGCAGCCGCGGUAAUACGUAGGGUGCAAGCGUUAAUCGGAAUUACUGGGCGUAAAGCGUGCGCAGGCGGUUUUGUAAGACAGAGGUGAAAUCCCCAGGGCUCAACCUGGGAACUGCCUUUGUGACUGCAAGGCUUGAGUGCGGCAGAGGGGGAUGGAAUUCCGCGUGUAGCAGUGAAAUGCGUAGAUAUGCGGAGAACACCGAUGG
rnacentral:rRNA from 1 species